CACCGGCAGCUCUAGUGGUAGCAGUUUUUAUUGGGCCUAAAGCGUCCGUAGCCGGUUUAAUAAGUCUCUGGUGAAAUCCUGUAGCUUAACUGUGGGAAUUGCUGGAGAUACUAUUAGACUUGAGAUCGGGAGAGGUUAGAGGUACUCCCAGGGUAGAGGUGAAAUUCUGUAAUCCUGGGAGGACCGCCUGUUGCGAAGGCGUCUAACUGGAACGAUUCUGACGGUGAGGGACGAAAGUUAGGGGCGCGAACCGG
rnacentral:rRNA from 1 species